rnacentral:rRNA from 1 species
UACGUAGGGUGCAAGCGUUAAUCGGAAUUACUGGGCGUAAAGCGUGCGCAGGCGGUUCCAUAAGACAGAUGUGGAAUCCCCGGGCUCAACCUGGGAACUGCAUUUGUGACUGUGGGGCUAGAGUAGGGUAGAGGGGGAUGGAAUUCCGCGUGUAGCAGUGAAAUGCGUAGAUAUGCGGAGGAACACCAAUGGCGAAGGCAAUCCCCUGGCCCUGUACUGACGCUCAUGCACGAAAGCGUGGGGAGCAAACAGG